ensembl:lncRNA
GUAAUUUUCUCCAUUUUGGGUCAAAAAUGCCAUUUUGGGGGGUCAUUUUGUCCCUUUUUGGUGCUGGAAUCCAUUUUAGGCCCCAAAAUGCCAUUUUUGAGGUAAAUUCCUCCAUUUUGGGUCCAAAAAUGCCAUUUUUGGGGUCAUUCGUUCCCAUUUUUGGGGGUGAAUUCCUCCAUUUUGGUUCUGAAAAAUGCCAUUUUUGGGUCAUUCGUUCCCAUUUUUUUCGCACCAAACCCCAUUUUGAGUCCAAAAAUGCCAUUUUUGGGCAUAAAUCCCUCCAUUUUGGGUCCAAAAAUGCCAUUUUUGGGUCAUUUGGUCCCAUUUUUUGGGGUACAAAACCCCAUUUUUAGUCCAAAAAUGCCAUUUUUGGGUCAUUCGUUCCCAUUUUUUUCGCACCGAACCCCAUUUUGAGUCCAAAAAUGGCAUUUUUGGGCAUAAAUCCCUCCAUUUUGGGUCGAAAAAUGCCAUUUUUGGGGUGAAUUCCUCCAUUUUGGGUCCAGAAAUGCCAUUUUGGGGGUAAAUUCCUCCAUUUUGGUCCAAAAAAUGCCAUUUUUGGGUCAUUUGGUCCCAUUUUUUGGGGUACAAAACCCCAUUUUGAGUCCAAAAAUGCCAUUUUUGGGUCAUUCGUUCCCAUUUUUUUUUCGCACCGAAUCCCAUUUUGGGUCCAAAAAUGGCAUUUUUGGGUCAUUUG